rnacentral:misc_RNA from 1 species
UGUAGGAGCCGGCUUGCUGGCGAUGCAAGCGCUGCGGUCUGUCAGAUGAACCGCGUCAUCCUUCAUCGCCAGCAAGCCGGCUCCUACA